GUGGGGAAUUUUGGACAAUGGGCGCAAGCCUGAUCCAGCAAUGCCGCGUGUAGGAAGAAGGCCUUCGGGUUGUAAACUGCUUUUGUACGGAACGAAACGGUCCUGGUUAAUACCUGGGGCUAAUGACGGUACCGUAAGAAUAAGCACCGGCUAACUACGUGCCAGCAGCCGCGGUAAUACGUAGGGUGCGAGCGUUAAUCGGAAUUACUGGGCGUAAAGCGUGCGCAGGCGGUGCUGUAAGACAGGCGUGAAAUCCCCGGGCUCAACCUGGGAAUUGCGCUUGUGACUGCAGUGCUGGAGUACGGCAGAGGGGGAUGGAAUUCCGCGUGUAGCAGUGAAAUGCGUAGAUAUGCGGAGGAACACCGAUGGCGAAGGCAGUCCCCUGGGCCUGUACUGACGCUCAUGCACGAAAGCGUGGGGAGCAAACAGGAUUAGAAACCCUAGUAGUCC
rnacentral:rRNA from 1 species